rnacentral:rRNA from 1 species
AUGGGAACGCGAAGAACCUUACCUAGACUUGACAUCUCCUGAAUAGUGUAGAGAUACAUGAAGCCCUUCGGGGCAGGAAGACAGGUGGUGCAUGGUUGUCGUCAGCUCGUGUCGUGAGAUGUUGGGUUAAGUCCCGCAACGAGCGCAACCCUUAUUACUAGUUGCUACCAUUAAGUUGAGCACUCUAGUGAGACUGCCCGGGGUUAACCGGGAGGAAGGCGGGGAUGACGUCAAAUCAUCAUGCCCCUUAUGUCUAGGGCAACACACGUGCUACAAUGGUGAGUACAGAUAGAUGCGAUACCGCAAGGUGGAGCCAAACUCUAAAACUCAUCCCAGUUCGGAUUGUAGGCUGCAACUCGCCUACAUGAAGUUGGAGUUGCUAGUAAUCGCGAAUCAGAAUGUCGCGGUGAAUACGUUCCCGGGUCUUGUACACAC